rnacentral:tRNA from 1 species
AGGGGAGACAUAAUGGCUAUGAUGUUGGCUUGAAACCAAUCUUUGGGGGUUCGAAUCCCUCCUCUCUUG